AGAAUCAACGCUGGCGGCGUGCCUAACACAUGCAAGUCGAACGAGAAAGUGGAGCAAUCCAUGAGUAAAGUGGCGCACGGGUGAGUAACACGUGACUAACCUACCCUUGAGUGGGGAAUAACUUCGGGAAACCGAGGCUAAUACCGCAUAACACCUACGGGUCAAAGGAGCAAUUCGCUUAAGGAGGGGGUCGCGGCAGAUUAGUUAGUUGGCGGGGUAAUGGCCCACCAAGACAGUGAGUCUGUAU
rnacentral:rRNA from 1 species